CAACCCUCAAGCACUGCUUGGUAUUGGGCUCCGCUGCUUGUCCAGCGGGCCUUAAAAUUAGUGGCGGUGUCAUUAGGCCCUGAGCGUAGUAAAUAUCCUCGCUAUAGGGACUUGGUGAUUACUGGCCAGCAACCCCCACUUUCUAAGU
rnacentral:misc_RNA from 1 species